GCAGCCGCGCCCCCAGCCGUAUUUCCGCGGGCGCUGAGCACUAGAGAGAGCGUCUUGUGGCUGCGGCCUGCCCCUCAGCCUCCUCCGCGCGGUUACCCCUGUACCCGCCGCCAUCCGUCCUGGCGCUCCGGAUGAGUCAAUGAGGGGCAGGGCCCGAGGAGUGGUCUUCCCAAGAACCCCUGGUGGCCUCCCAAGGCCGGUGCUGUGUACCUCCUCCCCGACAAAAGGGGAAACUGAGGCCCCGAGGGGAGUGGGAAGAGCCGGCUGGACGUCAGGCCCAGCCGCUGGUGCAGUGGUCCGUCCCCUCUGCCGGGGUGGGCCCCUCGGGUUUCGCGUGUCCUCGGGAAAGAGACUGGCGGGCCUCGUGGGCUGUGCGGCUAUCCUGGAGACAGAUGACAGCUCUCCCUUGGAUGGCUUUGCUGGUUCCGCACCAGCCAGCGCCCCCAUUUUUCCUGCAGCACCCUGAUCUGCACUCCCUGAGGGGCUCCCACUGUCCGCGGUGUGAGGAUGUCCCUGGAUAGUCCACUGUGUGCAGAGGCAUGGGAGUUGUCAUGUUGGGAACAUGCUAGACCUCAGUAUCCUUGAGGGAUGCUGCCUUGGGUCUGGAAACUGUUAGAGGAAACCCCAAGAGGUGCAGGCACUGAGCCUCUCAGGACAAUGACCUGGGGUCCCAGCUCCCCUGGAGGGGCCUCCUCAUGAUUGUUUGGGGGUUGAUCACAGACCAAGAGUGACGAGUGAUGUCACCCUGUGACUCAUGGCUGGACCUUCUUGCCCCUAUUGUCUCAGCACAACAUUAUUCGACUUUUCCCUCAGCGUGGGUGGGCAGAGGAAAAGCCCUGUGGCUCUGGGGACUUGGGAUCCAGAGUUGAAGACCCUUCAGCUGGCUCUGCCCUGCCAGUGCCACAGAGUGCCAUGGCCCAGGAAGACAGGUUUUCUUCCAUCUAGGCCAGGCCAUCCAGUGGCCAUCCUCCGUGUCCUCCCGCCUCCUCCUGGUGUGACUUCUGAAAACCAAGAAUUUGUUCCUGUUGACUUUUUCUGUGCUAUGGACCAUUGUCCUCUCACCCACUCAAUAAAUCUUGAAACAUGC